rnacentral:misc_RNA from 1 species
AAAAAAAAAAAAAAGAACAAAAAUUACAUCAUAUUUAGCAAAGAAGGUACACAAACACAUUAAAUUCAUACUUUCAAAAUAUUAAGGCUACAUUUGGUAGAACAUAAUCAAACUUGUAAUGGAAUCGAGAUCAUUCCAUGACAUUUUUUGGUUACACAAGAAAAAUUAUUCAUUUAAAAUUAUUCAUUCCUAAUAGAACCUAUUACCUUCAAAUGAGGGAAAACUACCAUAGGAUAGAGCUCCAUUUUCUUAGUAGAAAAUAUUUUUGUGAAAAAAAAAUUUCCAAGUAAAGGACUUAUUUUCUGUUAUUUGAUCAUAAAAUUGAAAAUCAUUUAAAAUUAUUUUCCGGUAUUUGGAGUUCAUCAGAAAACACUAAUUUUAUUUAGAGCUGAAAACAGAUGAGAUUUUACACAGAAAAAUAGUGUACCGUGGUGGUUGCCAACAAACAACAAUGGCCUAUGAUGGCCAAGAGUGAUAAUUUGAUAUUACAUAAUGAGCAAGUGCCUUUAUUGUUCCCUUACAAGUUACUUCCCUUUUUAUGAAUUUGUACACUCAUGUAAAUGACAUUCUCUUACUUCCCUUUUUAUAAACUCAAGAAAAUGGUAUUCUCUUGAAAACAAAAAGUCAUUUUCCUUAAGGCUCCAAUAGUUAAUGGACAAUACUUUCCCAAAAUUCCAUGUUUUCUAACAUUUGGGGGCACUUAGGAAAAUUAUUCAACAAAAAAUGUUUUCUUGGUCAAAGGGGAAAUUGAGCUUGAAAAUGACUUCAUCCUUUUUCCCAAAAAAAAUUAAUAAAUUUUAAAAAAUUUAUUAAAAGGGAAUAAACCAACAAAGUGCACAUGCCCGUUAGUCUACUGACCACUGUUGAUCAGCAUUGGCCAUUACUUCCAACCGAUGGCCAACGAUCACCAGCAACUACUUAAUUUACUGUUUUUGUCCCUUUUUUUCCCAUAAUCAACAAUAAAAUAGCAAAAUAUAUACAUCUUCAUAUUAUAGCCAAAUGCUGUAGCAUAAACAUCUGAAGUAAAUUAAUAAGCAAACAUAUAAUUUCUAAUAUAUUCAAAACUCUAGAAAAUGAUUUUGAACUGAUUUUCAAUAUUAUAGCCAAGAAAAUAUCAAAUGAGUCU